UUGCUCUUCAACGAGGAAUCCCUAGUAAGCGCAAGUCAUCAGCUUGCGUUGAUUACGUCCCUGCCCUUUGUACACACCGCCCGUCGCUACUACCGAUUGAAUGGCUCAGUGAGGCGUCCGGACUGGCCCAGGGAGGUGGGCAACUACCACCCAGGGCCGGAAAGCUCUCCAAACUCGGUCAUUUAGAGGAAGUAAAAGUCGUAACAAGGUCUCCGUUGGUGAACCAGCGGAGGGAUCAUUAUCGAGUUAUUCAACUCCCAAACCCUAUGUGAACUUACCACUUGUUGCUUCGGCGCGCGCUUCGGCGCCGCCGAGGACACUUAAACUCUUUGUUUUUAUAAGCAUUUCUGAGUGGCCGAAAGGCAAAAAUACAAAUGAAUCAAAACUUUCAACAACGGAUCUCUUGGUUCUGGCAUCGAUGAAGAACGCAGCGAAAUGCGAUAAGUAAUGUGAAUUGCAGAAUUCAGUGAAUCAUCGAAUCUUUGAACGCACAUUGCGCCCGCCAGCAUUCUGGCGGGCAUGCCUGUUCGAGCGUCAUUUCAACCCUCGAGCCCGACUCUUUUGAGGACGGCUCGGCGUUGGGGGACGGCAGACUCCCCCCGGCAUCUCGCCGGGGACGCCGCCCCCGAAAUCUAGUGGCGGCCCUCCGAGGCGACCUCUGCGUAGUAACUUGUUCUCGCACCGGAAAGCUCAGAGCGGCCACGCCGUAAAACCCCAACUUUUUUCAGGUUGACCUCGAAUCAGGUAGGACUACCCGCUGAACUUAAGCAUAUCAAUAAGCGGAGGA
rnacentral:rRNA from 1 species